rnacentral:rRNA from 1 species
UACAGAGGGGGCAAGCGUUGUUCGGAAUUACUGGGCGUAAAGGGCUCGUAGGCGGUUUGUCGCGUCGGGAGUGAAAACACCGGGCUUAACUCGGUGCUUGCUUUCGAUACGGGCAGACUAGAGGCAUGCAGGGGAGAACGGAAUUCCUGGUGUAGCGGUGAAAUGCGCAGAUAUCAGGAGGAACACCGGUGGCGAAGGCGGUUCUCUGGGCAUGUCCUGACGCUGAGGAGCGAAAGUGUGGGGAGCGAACAGG